UUAAGCGACUAAGCGUACACGGUGGAUGCCCUGGCAGUCAGAGGCGAUGAAGGACGUGCUAAUCUGCGAUAAGCGUCGGUAAGGUGAUAUGAACCGUUAUAACCGGCGAUUUCCGAAUGGGGAAACCCAGUGUGUUUCGACACACUAUCAUUAACUGAAUCCAUAGGUUAAUGAGGCGAACCGGGGGAACUGAAACAUCUAAGUACCCCGAGGAAAAGAAAUCAACCGAGAUUCCCCCAGUAGCGGCGAGCGAACGGGGAGCAGCCCAGAGCCUGAAUCAGUAUGUGUGUUAGUGGAAGCGUCUGGAAAGGCGCGCGAUACAGGGUGACAGCCCCGUACACAAAAAUGCACAUGCUGUGAGCUCGAUGAGUAGGGCGGGACACGUGGUAUCCUGUCUGAAUAUGGGGGGACCAUCCUCCAAGGCUAAAUACUCCUGACUGACCGAUAGUGAACCAGUACCGUGAGGGAAAGGCGAAAAGAACCCCGGCGAGGGGAGUGAAAAAGAACCUGAAACCGUGUACGUACAAGCAGUGGGAGCACGCUUAGGCGUGUGACUGCGUACCUUUUGUAUAAUGGGUCAGCGACUUAUAUUCUGUAGCAAGGUUAACCGAAUAGGGGAGCCGAAGGGAAACCGAGUCUUAACUGGGCGUUAAGUUGCAGGGUAUAGACCCGAAACCCGGUGAUCUAGCCAUGGGCAGGUUGAAGGUUGGGUAACACUAACUGGAGGACCGAACCGACUAAUGUUGAAAAAUUAGCGGAUGACUUGUGGCUGGGGGUGAAAGGCCAAUCAAACCGGGAGAUAGCUGGUUCUCCCCGAAAGCUAUUUAGGUAGCGCCUCGUGAAUUCAUCUCCGGGGGUAGAGCACUGUUUCGGCAAGGGGGUCAUCCCGACUUACCAACCCGAUGCAAACUGCGAAUACCGGAGAAUGUUAUCACGGGAGACACACGGCGGGUGCUAACGUCCGUCGUGAAGAGGGAAACAACCCAGACCGCCAGCUAAGGUCCCAAAGUCAUGGUUAAGUGGGAAACGAUGUGGGAAGGCCCAGACAGCCAGGAUGUUGGCUUAGAAGCAGCCAUCAUUUAAAGAAAGCGUAAUAGCUCACUGGUCGAGUCGGCCUGCGCGGAAGAUGUAACGGGGCUAAACCAUGCACCGAAGCUGCGGCAGCGACACUAUGUGUUGUUGGGUAGGGGAGCGUUCUGUAAGCCUGUGAAGGUGUACUGUGAGGUAUGCUGGAGGUAUCAGAAGUGCGAAUGCUGACAUAAGUAACGAUAAAGCGGGUGAAAAGCCCGCUCGCCGGAAGACCAAGGGUUCCUGUCCAACGUUAAUCGGGGCAGGGUGAGUCGACCCCUAAGGCGAGGCCGAAAGGCGUAGUCGAUGGGAAACAGGUUAAUAUUCCUGUACUUGGUGUUACUGCGAAGGGGGGACGGAGAAGGCUAUGUUGGCCGGGCGACGGUUGUCCCGGUUUAAGCGUGUAGGCUGGUUUUCCAGGCAAAUCCGGAAAAUCAAGGCUGAGGCGUGAUGACGAGGCACUACGGUGCUGAAGCAACAAAUGCCCUGCUUCCAGGAAAAGCCUCUAAGCAUCAGGUAACAUCAAAUCGUACCCCAAACCGACACAGGUGGUCAGGUAGAGAAUACCAAGGCGCUUGAGAGAACUCGGGUGAAGGAACUAGGCAAAAUGGUGCCGUAACUUCGGGAGAAGGCACGCUGAUAUGUAGGUGAAGUCCCUCGCGGAUGGAGCUGAAAUCAGUCGAAGAUACCAGCUGGCUGCAACUGUUUAUUAAAAACACAGCACUGUGCAAACACGAAAGUGGACGUAUACGGUGUGACGCCUGCCCGGUGCCGGAAGGUUAAUUGAUGGGGUCAGCGCAAGCGAAGCUCUUGAUCGAAGCCCCGGUAAACGGCGGCCGUAACUAUAACGGUCCUAAGGUAGCGAAAUUCCUUGUCGGGUAAGUUCCGACCUGCACGAAUGGCGUAAUGAUGGCCAGGCUGUCUCCACCCGAGACUCAGUGAAAUUGAACUCGCUGUGAAGAUGCAGUGUACCCGCGGCAAGACGGAAAGACCCCGUGAACCUUUACUAUAGCUUGACACUGAACAUUGAGCCUUGAUGUGUAGGAUAGGUGGGAGGCUUUGAAGUGUGGACGCCAGUCUGCAUGGAGCCGACCUUGAAAUACCACCCUUUAAUGUUUGAUGUUCUAACGUGGACCCGUNNNNNNNNNNAUCCGGGUUGCGGACAGUGUCUGGUGGGUAGUUUGACUGGGGCGGUCUCCUCCUAAAGAGUAACGGAGGAGCACGAAGGUUGGCUAAUCCUGGUCGGACAUCAGGAGGUUAGUGCAAUGGCAUAAGCCAGCUUGACUGCGAGCGUGACGGCGCGAGCAGGUGCGAAAGCAGGUCAUAGUGAUCCGGUGGUUCUGAAUGGAAGGGCCAUCGCUCAACGGAUAAAAGGUACUCCGGGGAUAACAGGCUGAUACCGCCCAAGAGUUCAUAUCGACGGCGGUGUUUGGCACCUCGAUGUCGGCUCAUCACAUCCUGGGGCUGAAGUAGGUCCCAAGGGUAUGGCUGUUCGCCAUUUAAAGUGGUACGCGAGCUGGGUUUAGAACGUCGUGAGACAGUUCGGUCCCUAUCUGCCGUGGGCGCUGGAGAACUGAGGGGGGCUGCUCCUAGUACGAGAGGACCGGAGUGGACGCAUCACUGGUGUUCGGGUUGUCAUGCCAAUGGCACUGCCCGGUAGCUAAAUGCGGAAGAGAUAAGUGCUGAAAGCAUCUAAGCACGAAACUUGCCCCGAGAUGAGUUCUCCCUGAC
rnacentral:rRNA from 1 species